rnacentral:rRNA from 1 species
GACGAACGCUGGCGGCGUGCCUAACACAUGCAAGUCGAGCGGGGUUGAAGCGAGGGGUAACUCGAACUUCUACCUAGCGGCGGACGGGUGAGUAACGCGUGGGCAACCUGCCUCAAGGUCUGGGAUAACAGCUCGAAAGGGCUGCUAAUACCGGAUAUGCCUAUAGCCUCGCAUGGGGCUAUGAGCAAAGGGGAAACCCGCCUUGAGAUGGGCCCGCGUCCCAUCAGCUAGUUGGUGAGGUGAAGGCUCACCAAGGCGACGACGGGUAGCCGGCCUGAGAGGGUGACCGGCCACACUGGGACUGAGACACGGCCCAGACUCCUACGGGGGCAGCAGUGGGGAAUCUUGCACAAUGGGCGAAAGCCUGAUGCAGCGACGCCGCGUGAGCGAAGAAGGCCUUCGGUUGUAAGCUCUGCCUGGAGGGACGAAGAAAGUAGACGGUACCUCCGGAGGAAGCCACGGCUAACUACGUG